rnacentral:rRNA from 1 species
AGUAACACGUGGAUAACCUACCUAUAAGACUGGGAUAACUUCGGGAAACCGUAGCUAAUACCGGAUAAUAUUUUGAACCGCAUGGUUCAAAAGUGAAAGACGGUCUUGCUGUCACUUAUAGAUGGAUCCGCGCUGCAUUAGCUAGUUGGUAAGGUAACGGCUUACCAAGGCAACGAUGCAUAGCCGACCUGAGAGGGUGAUCGGCCACACUGGGACUGAGACACGGCCCAG